GGCUCGGUAGCUCAGUCGGUAGAGCAGAGGAUUGAAAAUCCUUGUGUCGCUGGUUCGAUUCCAGUUCUGGCCA
rnacentral:tRNA from 1 species